rnacentral:rRNA from 1 species
UGCAGUCGAACGAGAAAGGGCGCCUUCGGGGGCCUGAGUAAAGUGGCGAACGGGUGAGUAACACGUGGGUGACCUACCCUCUGGAGGGGGAUAACCCGGGGAAACCCGGGCUAAGACCGCAUAAGCCUUUGAAUUCAAACUCAAAGGGAAAAGGUUCUAGCUUUCGAGCUUGAUCCUACCGGAGGAGGGGCCCGCGUCCCAUUAGCUAGUUGGUGGGGUAAAAGCCUACCAAGGCUACGAUGGGUAGCCGGUCUGAGAGGACGGACGGCCACACUGGAACUGAGACACGGUCCAGACUCCUACGGGAGGCAGCAGUGGGGAAUUUUGGGCAAUGGGCGAAAGCCUGACCCAGCAACGCCGCGUGGAGGAUGAAGGCCCUCGGGUCGUAAACUCCUGUCCUAGGGGAAGAAAAAAAUGACGGUACCCUUGGAGGAAGCCCCGGCUAACUCCGUGCCAGCAGCCGCGGUAAGACGGGGGGGGCGAGCGUUGUUCGGAAUUACUGGGCGUAAAGGGCGCGCAGGCGGCCUGGGAAGUCUUGGGUGAAAGCCCCCAGCCCAACUGGGGAAUGGCCUGAGAAACCACUAGGCUGGAGUGCUGGAGAGGGAAGCGGAAUUCCCGGUGGAGCGGUGAAAUGCGUAGAUAUC